CACACACACAGUGGCUAACCAACCCGCUCUGCCGCCGACUCGCCACCUGGACGAACUGAGAACUGGACUCCCCAGGCACAGCUGGGAUGGAGCCUGGACUCGGCACUGACGUGCCCCUGCAGAAGCAACGCGGAGCCAUACUAGUUGCCGUUGGCAACACAGCUGGGCUAAACGCCUUCACGCAGAGCUGGAAAGGCCUUCGCUCCUCACUGGUAGCCGGCCCCCACGCACCCGCAACCGUCGCUGACACCCACCUCGGGUCCGGCACGUUAAACACGUCGUGUCCCCACAUCCCACGUCACACCUCCAAACAUGCCAAGUACCUCGCAACUCACCUGAACAUUGCCACUAUGGUCACGCCUGACGAAGCUCCAGCGACACCGAGGUUGAAUCGGACACAAUUCCAACGUACACUGCCGCUGGCCCACAACCCCGAGGAAAUUGUAUGGACCGAUGGCUCGGUAUCCAAGACAACGACUGAAAACGGUAGAGAACUACAAGUGGCUGGGGCUUGUGCUUGGCAUAAAGACCGUGUUGUCUACGUAAACCCAAAUGAAUUUGGCUGCACUAACACUAUUACACGCGCCGAGCUCGCUGCAAUUCGUGCAGCCCUGGAAGAAUUCGGAGGUGAAACUAGUAUGUUCGCGAAGAAAACGCUAACCAUUGCCAGUGACUCAGCUGCAAGCUUGUAUCUAAUUAAACGGGCUAUUGACGAAC
rnacentral:lncRNA from 1 species